rnacentral:rRNA from 1 species
UACGUAGGGUGCAAGCGUUGUCCGGAAUUAUUGGGCGUAAAGAGCUCGUAGGCGGUCUGUCGCGUCGGCUGUGAAAUCCCGAGGCUCAACCUCGGGUCUGCAGUCGAUACGGGCAAACUAGAGUAUUGCAGGGGAGACUGGAAUUCCUGGUGUAGCGGUGAAAUGCGCAGAUAUCAGGAGGAACACCGGUGGCGAAGGCGGGGUCUCUGGGGCCAAUAACUGACGCUGAGGAGCGAAAGCGUGGGGGAGCAAACAGG